rnacentral:lncRNA from 1 species
GUGGCUCCAGAGAUCGAAGAGGAGGAAAUUGAUGCUCCCCACUUGCUCCAGAUUGAACCCCCCUUCGAGUCAGAUUGAUCAACUGGUUGGAGCAAUAUAAAGGAGACGGAUGUUCCCCAUGGUCGAUUCUCUCGCAGCAAUGCUCUCCCUCUCUCCUUUCUUUUUUUUUUGGGAUUCGAUUGCUUGAGGUUGUUCCUGCAGUGGAAGUGUGUGUUCCUCAGAUGAGGCGCAAUAAUGUUUAUUGGCCCAAAUUUUUCCUGUCGACAGAGAAAAAUCAGAUAAUAAGAGAUAAAUCAAUAAUAUUUCUAUAUAUUUAUGCAUAAUUUCUGUAAACCAUACUAUUCUCUGCCCUGCAACCCACCAACACACCUGUUGGAGAAGGUGAAUCAAGAUCAGAAUAAAUCGAGCUUGCAUGAGGCUGCAACCUUGCACGUGGGAAAGCAUAUGAAUUGCACAAAAUCUGGCUACAUACAUGGUUUGAAGCUGUCCCUCGUUGGCUCUUUGCUGAUACAAUGACGAACAAAAAGAAGAAAAAAAAUCUCUACCCUACACCCAGACAAGGGUGCACUCUGUCUGUGUAGUGUGUAUGUGUGUGUAUAUGGAGGGGGGGGGGGAGAGAGAGAGAGAGAGAGGAGGAGG